GAGAGGAGGCAAAGCAGCCGCCACUCGCAGCACGCGCUUCUGCCUUCACAAAUUGAACUGCACAAGCCGGAGGAAAGUUGGUGUCUGUGCUGCCUCCAAGAGCUCUCAACUGCUUAGGGGAUGGGGAAAAGCAGCACCUUUCCCAGGUUGUCCUUGGGAAGUGACAAAGCUCUGCCACUGCUGGAGAGUUGCUGAAUGCUGUCACCAACCAAAUAUGCAGAGCACAUGAGACCUCAUAGGGCCUGACCCCAUGGCUGCUCAGAGGCAAGGAGAAGGCAGAAGAGGAAAACGGAGCAAGCAAGACCCAGCAGCAGCUGCCGAGCAGGAUCAGCUCCAGCACUGAGCUCCCAGGUUGGGCCAACAGGCACAAGUGAGUCACAGGGCCACAUCUUUCCCUAGACCAUGUCAUCUGUACCAUACAAGGCUGAGCAUAUGAAGUGGCUCUGAAAUGUUCUCCAAGGUCUCUGUAGGUCCAACGACACUUCGGAAAGGGCUCUAAGGCUGCCCGGUAGAGGAUCACUGCAAGAAGAUUUGGAGUCAGUGAGAGCGGGACUGCUCCAUCCAUGAGACUGCAGUAUGGAUCCGUGUUACAACCACACAAGCCCUCAAGAAAGGAUGAGCUUCCCCCUGCAGCUGCUGGUUGGGUCCUGCCUCACCAUCCUCAUCGUCAUCACUCUCUGCGGUAACAUCAUCGUCUGCCUGGCAGUCACCCUUGACCGCCGGCUCCGCAACUUGACAAACUGCAUCAUCGUCUCCUUGGCCAUCACUGACCUGCUUCUGGGACUCCUGGUGCUGCCAUUCUCUGCCUUCUAUGAACUCGCCAAAGAGUGGCCCUUUGGCAGCACUUUGUGCAACAUCUACACUAGCCUGGAUGUCAUGUUGUGCACAGCUUCCAUCCUCAACCUCUUCAUGAUCAGCCUGGACCGCUACUUUGCUGUCACCACCCCACUCCGUUACAGCCAGCUUGUCACUCCUGCUCGGGUGGCUGUUGGCUUGGUCAUUAUUUGGACAGUUUCGCUCAUGGUCUCCUUCCUACCCAUCUACCUGGGCUGGAACACUAAUGGGACAGCAGUCCAAAACACAGCCCCCAACUGCAACAAUGAAUGUAUUCUGGAGGUGAACCCUGUAUAUGGCCUAGUGGAUGCCUUGCUCACCUUCUACGUCCCUUUGGUCAUCAUGUGCAUCACCUACUACCGGAUAUUUAAGAUAGCAAGGGAACAAGCCAAAAGGAUAAACCACACGUGGUGCUGCAGCAGCAACGCCCCAAUGCCACCCAUGGUGAAAGAGCACAAAGCCACUGUGACACUGGCAGUAGUGUUGGGAGCAUUCAUUGUGUGCUGGUUCCCCUAUUUCACAGUGUUCACCUACCGGGGGAUGUGGGGGGACAGCAGGGUGAAAGGCACACCAAUGUCCAUCGUCCUCUGGCUGGGCUACGCCAACUCAGCCCUGAACCCCAUCCUCUAUGGGACGCUCAACAGGGAUUUCCGUGUGGCGUACCAGCACUUGCUGCACUGCUGGAGGAUCGGGGGCUCCAGGAGCCCCCACCUGCCUCCCCUCCAGAAGGCCCAGUCCAGGGGCAGGAGCUGCAGGCAGGGCCAGGGCAAGCAAGAGGGUAAACCCCUGAAGCUGGAGAUGAGGAACGGGAAGGGGAUCUUGCUGACGGAUGGAGCCCUCAAGAGUGCCGGAACUUUCCCAGGAGUCUCAGCCAGCCCACUGCCCUAGGACCCACAUCUCCCAGCCUUCUGACUCCCAGUCACCCUCUUCCAAAUCCUGUGAGGUUGAAAGGACAACACUCACGUUUUCCUCAGGGAGAAACUCAACGGCAGAGGAUUCUUUCUCUGGCAUACAGCAUUUGCUCCAGCCCCAGGAACUGCUGAAGAGACCUUUGUCUGCCUAAGUUUCUUCCCAGGAGGGUGGUGUGUUUGAAGAGCCCUUGGAGGAGCUGCAAAGAGCCUCAUGCCUGCCUCAUCAGGGCCAUGACACCGCCAGCGUCGAGCCCUGCACCAGCAGGCGGUGGUGACCCAAGAGCUGGGUCAGGAGCCAGAGCGUGCAGCCGGCGGGGCCAGGAUGGGGCUGUCCUCCCCAGAUCCCAGCCAGCGGGUCAGGCUAAGAAAGCAGAGUGAAAAGGAGCUGCACUUGAGAUCUUGGUGCCAGGCAGACCAGCCUAGGACAAAGAAGGGAAACACAGGCACUAUCCUCGCUGAUGCCCUGUCCAAGGGAUGUAUCCACCCUUUGGAGCACCAGGGGUCCUAACAGAGGGGUGGGCAAUGUGGCAGGAGGGCUAGGCACGAUGGAUGUAGGUCAGCCACAAGUGCCAGAUGUCCAUGCACAGGACAUCCAAUCCUGCAGCAUCCACGCCAGGGCAAGACUGCCUCCCAUGUGUCUGGGCAUCGUCAGGGCUGCCUCUGUUCUCUGUGUCUGCUCCACAAACCCUGUCCCAGACCCACAGCAAGGACAGACACCCUGGAGCUGGCUGGGACAUGAGGAAACACUAAGCAGCUGGGGUUUGUCCCCGAGUCUUCCCCAGCAGCUCAACACUAGGAAUGCCAAAACAGGGCGUUUCUGCACUGAGCCUGUGCAAAAGUCAUCAGUGGCAUAAAAAUCUAUUUAACACACAGGGAAAAAUGACAUGAUUGAUUUAUUUAGGCAUGUUCUGUCCCAGAAAGUGUCCCUGUCCCCUUAUACUCUCCUGUCCCAUUGCCAUAUGUCUGCUGGGCAGAGCCUGAACACAAAAACACAGGCCCCCACGACACAGAUUGCAGCCGUCCCAGACAGGCUGGCAUCCUCCCCAGAGAGCACCUUCCCUGUAGGACCAGCUAGACAAUGCCCUCCCCAGUCCCUGAGCUGGUGGGAAUAAGGAGGCAGCAAGCAGUGAGGAUGAGGUAGGAUAGGAAGGAACAAGAAGUCCCUGCUGCGCUGCAGAGCAAGAGUUCUCCUACUAAAAUAAGCCUGACACGCAUCACCCCUGGGCACAGCAUCUUCGUUCUGCACCCCACAGCAUCCCCGGGACACAGCGGGGGCAGGCAAACCCCAGUUUCCAGCAUCUCCCCGGCAAGGGAGGAUGCUCAGCCCCCAGGACAAGUGGUUCCAUGCUUGCCGGGGCUCUGCCCUGGCAGGGAGAACAGGCAAGGGCAGAGCUCGGUCUCAGCUGCUCCGGGACACUCCUGCCCCGAGCUUCGGGUGUAGGGAAGGGGCCAGGCUGGGAUGCCUGACCCCCCUCGGGGAGCAGGGGACACCGGUGCUGCCGCUUUGCCGCUCCCCACCGCGGGCUCGGAGCUCCCCCUGCUUGCUGCCGCCGACAGCCCUGCCCGCCGGCCCCCGGCUCGCUCACACCAAGGGGUUUCACCCCAACACACGGGGCUGGGGGCCCCGAAUCCCCCCCGGCUCGGGCAGGGCUCCCCUGGACCCGGCACAGCCCCCCCCGGAGCCACCGCAGAGCUCAGCUGCAGCUCCCGCCGCUCGCACCGCCGCGGGUUUGGCUCUCCCACCGGUAAUCAGUGAUUGCAAAGAGCAAUUGGCUUCCAAAGAGGGCUGCGGGGGUGGGCUGCAGCCCCAGUGCCCCACAGCACCCAGCCCGGGCAGCCCAGAGCCCCACCAAAGCAUCAGAAGCCUGCAGUGAGGUGAUGGGCAACAUCCAUCCCCUCCCCUGGGAACAGGGAGCUACAAGCAUCCUGGACCCCUGCCACCCCCAGAGUCAAGUCUCAGCACCCGCCACUUGCACCUCUGUGGGUUUGGCCCUUCCACUGGUGCUUGCAAAGAGCAAUCGUCUUCCAAAGAGCACAGAGGGCUGGGGAGGUGGGCUGCAGCCCCAGUGCCCCACAGCACCCAGCCCGGGCAGCGCUGAGCCCCAUCAAAGCAUCGUUGGGCAAGGAGAAGCCUGCAGCAAAGGGAUGUCCAGGCAGCCAACAUCCCAUCCCAUCUCAUCCCAUCCCCUUCCCUCCCAAGUCCUCCUGCACGCAGCCUGGGGAUGGGGCGCUACAAGUGUCCUGGCGUGAGCAGUUCACAGCAGAAGAAGAAAUUACCUCAUCAGCAUCUUCUUUUGCAGAGAGCCAGGAAACCACUCCCUGCAGCUGAGCAUGCAGAGGACUCAUGUUCUCCAAACAAACCAGACAGGAGCAGGCCUUGAAACGCCUCUAGCAUCCACACUUCACUCCAUCUCAGGGAGGAAGAACUGACAAACACACACCCAAACCUUCACCACCUAUGAUAACAAUUAGAGACUUAUCUAAUUGCAAAAAUAAUUGCAAUUGAAGUGUUUAAUUACCAUACUAAGCAGGAAGAGCUGCUUCCGACUGUUCCAGUAGCACUCCUGAUCCAUCAAACAAGGUUUGGGGCUUGUUUGGGUGUUGGGUUCCUUUUUUGAUUAUUAGAUUGCAGCCCCAGGGGAUGGAGAGAUUUUCUAAUUAGGGUCUUGGAGAACAGCUACCAAUUCACAAACACUUGCUUUUAAUUUCAAUACUAACGAGGUUGGAAGGGGGAGAAAUCCAAAAUGCAGAACAGCUGUGGUGGUGGCUGGCUGCAGCUCAGCUGCCCCGAGCUCCUCACAGGGCUGGCAGAGGUCUGACACCGCUUGGUGCAUGGAACGGUCCAGUAGCAGUGGGGUGGGGUGGCACAGUGCAAGGACAGCCAAGGUGAAGCUGACACUCCAGGUCACUGCUGUCAUCAUAGUCAUUGUACAAGCUAAUCCCAGCAUUGAUCAUCUACCUGAUCUCUCAUGGGCCAUUGACCCUGGUGACUUUCUCCAGUGCUGGGCUAAUCCUGGUCCUGGAGCUGCAGUGCCAGCCCUAGGGGGUGCAGCAGCAGGAACUUCUCCAGGUGCCAUUCAGUUUUGUUCUUCCCUAAACCGACAACAAAAGACAAUUUAAUUCUCUCUCCAAGCAGUAAUUCUGAGAGGGAAGAGAAACUGCUUAGGAAGCUUCUUACCAACAUCUGCUUUCUCAGAUAGGAGAUAUCCCCCCGCUAGCAGUGGGAGCGUAGAUAGGGACAGCUGCCAAGUGUGCAGGAACACCCCCAUCCCUGCUGUCCUUGCAGGGGAUGCAGGAGCCCAUACUCCCCUGGUUUACAGCACCUCAUCCUCACCCUGCUCCACCAGCCUGGACCCACGGUUCCUGGCUGGGCUUCUCUCACUGAAACACCAUUCUUGUCCUCACCACAGCUCUGAGUAAGGUCAAAAAACAUGCAGAGAGGAG